rnacentral:rRNA from 1 species
GACGAAGGAUGCAAGCGUUAUCCGGAUUCAUUGGGCUUGAAGGGCGCGUAGGUGGCCUUAUAAGUCAGUGGUGAAAUCUCUGGGCUUAACCCAGAAAUUGCCAUUGAUACUGUAGGGCUUGAGUAUAGAUGCCGUUGGCGGAAUAUGACAUGUAGUGGUGAAAUACAUAGAGAUGUCAUAGAACACCGAUUGCGAAGGCAGCUAACGAAACUAUAACUGACACUGAGGCUCGAAAGCGUGGGGAUCAAACAGG